UACGGGGGGGGCAAGCGUUGUUCGGAAUUACUGGGCGUAAAGGGCUCGUAGGUGGCCCACUAAGUCAGACGUGAAAUCCCUCGGCUUAACCGGGGAACUGCGUCUGAUACUGGAUGGCUUGAGUUUGGGAGAGGGACGCGGAAUUCCAGGUGUAGCGGUGGAAUGCGUAGAGAUCCGGAAGAACACCGGUGGCGAAGGCGGUCGACUGGGCCAGUACUGACGCUGAGGCGCGACAGCGUGGGGAGCAAACAGG
rnacentral:rRNA from 1 species